rnacentral:rRNA from 1 species
UACGAAGGGGGCUAGCGUUGCUCGGAAUUACUGGGCGUAAAGGGCGCGUAGGCGGGUCGUUAAGUUAGAGGUGAAAGCCCAGGGCUCAACCCUGGAAUUGCCUUUAAUACUGUCGACCUUGAGUAUGGCAGAGGUGUGUGGAACUCCGAGUGUAGAGGUGAAAUUCGUAGAUAUUCGGAAGAACACCAGUGGCGAAGGCGACACACUGGGCCAUUACUGACGCUGAGGCGCGAAAGCGUGGGGAGCGAACAGG